UCCACGGUAGUAUAGUGGUCAGUAUCCCCGCCUGUCACGCGCGGGAACCGGGGUUCGAUUCACCGCCGGGGGUA